ensembl:lncRNA
AUCUUCCUGGAGGUCUUUGUGUACCUUAAGUUUUCUGAAGGUAAGCAGCUGGUUUCUUUUAUUUCUGAACCAGCUGCUAUUGUGUUUGAGUGAUUCCUUACUUGCUGCAGUCUUAGACUGUGCUGUUCUGUCAUUAUUGUGUUACAAGUUGAUUACUGUGAAGGUGACUAAUACAGAAGAAAAUGGUAAGAAGUAGGAGAGAAUCAAUAUCUGAGUAUCUUUAAAGGAUUUCUUUCAUUUCCUGUGUUGAAUAAUGAUCCUUUUGAGAUCAUUCAUAUUGAUUAUUAUUGAUUAUACAAAGUUUAAAUUCACUCUGUAUAAUCUCAAAGUUAAAUUACCUUUGAUGCAAACUUCUGUCCUUCACACUGGAACUAUUCACUGAACAAGAUAAGCAUCCAAGAUGGGGAGCAUUAUCUGAUAAUGAAGAAUACUAUUUAUGACUCUUUAACCCUAACUCUUUCAGGUUGCUUCUGUUUUCUUUCUCAGGAUGCUUCUGGGGGGCAGGAGAAAUUAAUGCAAUAUAAUGAAUGAACAUGAUAUAUGUUUUUGUUGCCUGUAAAGCUUUUGACUAGACACUGCACUUUUAUGCUUUUAUCAUGUAUAAUUUAUCAUCAUUCAUUAUCAGUGAAUAAGAAGGUUGAAAUAGCUAUGGAAAGAUUUAACAAGCUCUUUCAGACUUGUGAUUAGUUACCUUUUUUUGUAACUAGUCAGUUGACCUAAACUAAACUCAUUAAUAUGAAAUAUUUUGGAUUUGUUCAGUAUAAUAUACAAUUACUUUUUUUGCAUAUGGAUUAUUUUCUAGAAGAAGCAUAUUGAUUAUUCCCACAGUUAACUUGUAUGAAGGCGCUUUAACAGUAUAUCUUUUGAUUAUCUAAAUAGUUUUAUUUUCUGGCAAAUUAUUGACAUAUUAAUGCUUGUUUCUCUUCACUGAGCCUUCUUUAAGCAUGAGUGUGUACUCCAUCUGGGAUGAGCAGUGAAUGAUAAUACAGAUUGCAUACAGUCUGGAAAUAAUCCACAGUGCAUUUUUAUAAUGUACGUGUAAAACUUUUACAAUGUAAGUAGCUCAUACUGCUGAAACAACUAUGGAAAAGAAUGUUCAGCUAGGAAAUGGAAGAUGAGAAGACGAAGUUCACACCUCUCUGUUGAAACACUUCUUUCAGUGCUUGUUGAUACAAGCAAAUCUUAUAGUGUUCAUUUACAUUAUUUCCUUCGAGAACAAUUUCUUAAAGUCAGAGGAACAUGAAUUAGUAUUGCUGUAUUGUGAGGUAUAAGAACUGAAAAGAGAAGAGGUUGUUGCACCUCCAGGUCUGAGCCAUCUGCUUCCAUGUCAGUAUGCUACUAGUCAGCUUGCCCAUGAGCAGCAGAGUACUCCAGGACAUGGAUUUUAUUUGGCAGAAUUUCAUGGAGCUUUCCUGAUAAUAAGAUAAAUAAGGAAAAGUGUAAAUGAGAAAAAAGAAACUGUUGUGGUCACACACUACAUAGAGGAACUCCUGCUGUUGCUUUAUUCAGCUGCAGGGCCCUUCUCUGGGAAAGUGAGCUGCCUUUGGAAGAAGUGAAUGGGGGAAAGAGUGUAAGCUGGUUUUAUUUGUAGAGAUCAAGCAGAAAAGUGGCAGAUCACUAAAAAUGACUGUUCAGAAUGAAGUGGCUCUAUGGAAUUCCAACAUAAGACAGCAUUGUAGCAACUGGAUUGAAAUUUGUUGAGGCUUUAAUUUUUAAUGGUUAAAAGUCUGAGGGAUGAGAGGAACUUGUGUGCAAGUACUCUAAGAAAUUUUCUUACUCUGGUUCUGAGUCCUGUGCCUGGUCUUCACAAGAAACAAUGGAGCACAGAAAUCCCUAAUGAGAAGAAAAAACAUACAGCCUUUGUUAUCUGGCAGAAGACCUUUGGAAAUCUCCUGGAUUUGAGAGACAUGGGCAUACUGAGAAGAGUCUGAUGUAGGGCCACCAAGAUGAUUGAAGGACUGGAGCAACUCUACUUUGAGGAAAGACUGAGAGAGCUGUGUCUCUUCAACCUGGAGGAAAAAUGGUUUGGGAGGGAUCUCAUCAGUGUCUAUAAGUACCUUAAGGGAGGGUGCAAUGAAGGUGAAGCUGGGCUCUUCUCAGUGGUCCCCAAUGCCAGGACAAGAGACAGUAGGCACAAACUAAAACACAGAAGGUUCCCUCUGAACAUGAGACAGCACUGGCACAGAUUGCCCAGCGAGGUAGUGGAAUCUCCCCCUUGGAGAUCUUUAACAGUUGUCUGAAUGUGGUCCUGGGCAGUCUACUUUAGGGAGACUCUUCUUGAGCAGGGAUUGAUCCAGACAAGCUCCACAGAUCCCCUCCAACCUCAACCAUACUAUUAUGAUGAGAUUUCAAGCCCAUCUUCUUCAAUUCUGUGUGAGACAUAUCUCAAGAAUGGGAUUGUUUCCUAACGCUUGGAAGCUGACAGCAACAGCAGUAGGAAAAUGCUUUUAGUUGAAAUUGGUUUUUAAUCUCAAAACUUCAUUUAUGAACUUCAAGGAAUGAACUGUAAAACUUAAUGUUAAUGAAGAGCAUUGAUCCUGGAGAAUCUUAUAAGAAAGCCUGCUUGUUUCAGAAGUGUAAAUACUACUUUACUAAGCCUUAAGGUAGAUAUUUAUUUAUCACUGGCAAUCCAGAGAAAUCUGUAACUUUUUGCUUCAAUAAAGAGCACUAUUCAUU